AUUGAACGCUGGCGGCAGGCCUAACACAUGCAAGUCGAGCGAGCGGCGGACGGGUGAGUAAUGUAUGGGGCCUGCCUGAUAGAGGGGGAUAACUACUGGAAACGGUGGCUAAUACCGCAUACUAUCGGAUAACCCAUAUGGGAUUAGCUAGUAGGUGGGGUAAAGGCUCACCAAGGCGACGAUCUCGAGCUGGUCUGAGAGGAUGAACAGCCACAAGGGGACGGGGAAACGGCCCAGACUCCUACGGAGGGAGAAGGGGGGGAUAUUGCCAAAGUGGCGAAAGCCUGAUGCAGCCAUGCCGCGUGUAUGAAGAAGGCCUUAGGGUUGUAAAGUACUUUCAGCAGGGAGGCGUUACCCGCAGAAGAAGCACCGGCUAACUCCGUGCCAGCAGCCGCGGUAAUAC
rnacentral:rRNA from 1 species